rnacentral:lncRNA from 10 species
UUUGAAAUUAAUUAGUAAUGAGUUAUAAUUUCUAUUUAUUUCCUUAUAUCCUUAGAUGCACAGAUGGUAGGACUAUAUACAUAAAGUAUUUUUAAAGAUAUGAGAAAAUAAUUAGAAACCACAGAAAGAGGGAAAUGAUGACAUCAGAAACUCAGGACUGACAGUUAAAUUUGAUUUUCAAUUUUUUAAGCAGCAAAGGCAAACAAAUGAAAACAUGGAAAAAAAUAUAGAAACAAGAGAAGUUUAAACAGUUUUUCUUGUCUGAUAAACAUGUCAGAUAAUUAGUAGAAUCAAACAUGGUUUCAUAAAAUCUAAUAUAUUUAUCAACUUUAAUGCAACUGUGCUCUCUAGUACCUAGCAAGCAAUUUUGAUUUUAGGAGUUUGACUUUGUGCAAAGUUUCAUUUGUACAAAGCACUGUCCAAUGGAAAUAUAACGUGAGCCACAUAUGUCAUUUAAAAUUUUCCAAUACAUACAUUAAGAAAGGUUAAAAUAAAAAAGUAAAUUUAAUUUUAUGAUACAGUUUAUUUGAUCUGAUAUAUUCAAAAUAAUGGUAUUUUUGUGUAUAAUCAAUUAAAAGAUUAUUAAUAAAAUAUUUUGGUUUAUUUUCUAUAAUAAAUCUUCAAAAUUUGUUGUGCAUUUUACACUUACAGCACAUCUGCAUUUGUAUUAGGCACAUUUUAAAUUCUUAAUAAUAUUGUGAUAGUAUGCCAUGUUAGAUAGCAUGGCUCAACAUUAACUCCACAUGGACAUAAAUAAUUGACUUUGAAACAUGAGCACAGAUAUGGAUGAACUGGCAUGACAAUGUUACAGACAUUAAUAAGCACACACUCUCAUGAUGACAUGAUCCUUGACUACUGUAUUAAACUUGCAUUAAUUUUUAAUUUAUUCUUACAUUUGACAAAUAUUUGUUACCUAUUAUAUUUCUGAAUGUGCAGUGAAAAUGCUUAACCUUUCCACAAUAGACAGUUUCUAGGAAAACCAUUAGCCCAAAGAGUGUAGGAAGUCUUUUAGUCUCUGAGGAAAUAACAUGAAGCAAAAUUAAAUUUCUGCUUAUCAAGCUUAAAUUUUAGUAGGGGCAGACAGAUAAUAAAAAGUAAACAAAUAUUUAUCAUCAGCUGGUGAUAUUUGCUGUGAAGAAAAAUAAACAGAGUAACAGUGAGGAGGUGGAAUUCUGGAGUGGUACUUUAGACAGAGUGGUCAGAAGGCUAUUCUAUUAAAGAUAGAAGAUAGAGAAAUGGCCCCUUAAUGAGGUAGAAUGAAAGCAAAAACCUGAAUCAAGGGAGGCUAUGAACCAAGAGGAUUCUGGAGAGAAAGAAUUCUGGAGAGAGAGAGUGCCAAGAGACUUUCAGAAGAGAACUUAAAAUAUGGAGAUUAAUAGAUACAAGCAACAAUGUGAAAGCCUGUAUGACUGGAGAAUAGCUAGUUAGGUGGAUCUUGUUGGGAUAUGAUGCCAGGUAAGAAGUUCGGAUGUUGUUUCUGAGACAGCUGGGAAACCAAUGGAGGGACAUGAGCAGAGAAAGGAUGUGAUGCUUUCUAUAAUAGUUACUGAAAGUAUAUUUAUCUGUGCUGUUGUGUGGCAAAGCGAUAGUAGCAGGAGAUGAGCAGAAGCAGGGACAGCCCAGAUGACGUGCUGGGUAGUCUUGGCCCAGGAUGUUAAAGGCAGCAUAUGAUCUAAAUGAAAAUCAAAAUCACCUAUUAAAUACAUAAUGCCAAUAGCUUUGUUUUACUUUCAGUUAAAACCAUUAUUGGAUAAACUGUUCUAUCCAUAGGGCAAGUCUAUUCAUAUCAUGCAAAUUUAGUUUUCUAUGUGGUAUUAUGUACAAAUUUCCAAAUUGAAAUUCAAUAAAUUGUUCUUUCACAAUGUUCUUUCAAUGUUCUUUGUCACAGUGCAUUGUGCCAAGCUGAGAAGAAAACAAUUCACAUGCCUCCUGUCUCCUUUCUUGUUCCCUGUCCAGAGGCUUAUGAUGUAGUCAGGAAGGUACAGUUACCAGCACAAAUUUGUAGGGAAAAAGUCAGACACUGGUGAAGUGUUGUCAGGAUGGGCAAAUCAAGAUAAAAUGAAGAAACAAACAAGGAGAUGAUUAAAUUAAACAGAGAGAUUCAUUAAUUCAUGCAUCCAUUCAUUCUAUAACUAUUGAUUUUGUCAGAGACUGUGUGUUUUAGCAAUUCAAAGAUGACUAAGGUUAUAGAUCUUGAGAAUGGUUCAUGGACUAAGAAUCAAGAGUUGUUUCCCUGUUGUAUAAGGUCAUAGAGAUGGAUAGGCUGAUUGGAAUAUUGAUGCAGGAGAGUAUCAAGUAGUAUAGCUUUGAAAAAGAUUCUGAAAGGUGGCUGCAGAGAACAACAAAAAGUCAAAUCCAGAGGAGCAGUAUCAAAUACCAGACCCAAAGGGCAAGAUGGAACACAAAGUCAGAAGCUCUGCCAAUCAGGAACUGAUUUAAAGCAGAACAUGAGGUAGUUCAAGGUAAGCAGCUUAGUUAAUGCAAAGACCAUGUGCCUGAGUUUCAGAGAAAAUAAUGUUGUGUGGAUCAGGGGGAGGCCUUAAGGUUUAAAGGAGCUGAUACCACCAGAGAGAUUUGUGCCUUUGGUAUUUAAGCUGGAACUGACAAUGUGGAAAGACACUGAUAGAAGGAUUUGAGUAGAAAGGGAUUUCUUCCAGAAAUAAAAUUUGAACAGUGGUAUGCAGGUUGGAAAUUGCAGGGUAUUACCAGGGAACAGUACAUAUUCAGCAAGGGUGUAACAUGUCAAGAAUUUGUGGAAAGAGAAGUGAAGUGGAACUGGGCCAAAACCAUAUUAUGGAGGGUUUUGAAUGUCAGUAUUUAUAUUUAUUCCAUAUAUCUUGGUGAACAAUCGAAGGUUUCAUUAAAAGCAUGAGUUACAUAUGCAAAUUUUUAUUUAGGAACAUGUUUUAGUGUUCAAAAUAUAAGACAUAUUGUUACCAGCAGCAAAUGUGUAUGAGUAAGCAGCAACCUCAAUUUUUGCCUCCUCAGAAGAAAGAAUUCAACUAAGGGACAUAAGGCAGAAGGAGAGACCAAGGCAAGUUUUAAAGCAGGAGUGAAAGCUUAUGACAUGGUUGGGCUGUGUCGCCACCCAAAUUUCAUCUUGAAUUGUAGUUCCCAUAAUCCCCAUGUGUCAUGGGAGGGACCCAUGGAAGGUAAUUGAAUCACGGGGGUGGUUACCCUCAUGCUGCUGUUCUCGUGACAGUGAAUGAGUUCUCACGAGAUUGGAUGGUUCCAUAAGAGGCUUUUCCCCCUUUUGCUCUCAACUUCUCCUUGCUGCCACCAUGUGAAGAAGGGAGUGUUUGCUUUCCCUUCUGUCAUAAUUACAUUUCCUGAAGUCUCCCCUGUUCCCCUUGCUGAACUGUGAGUCAAUUAAAACUUUUUCCUUUAUAAAUUACCCUGUUGCAGGUAUAUCUUUUUUUUUUUUUUUUUUUUUUUGAGACAGAGUCUCACUCUGUCACUCAGGCUGGAGUACAGUGGCGUGAUCUCAGCUCACUGCAAGCUCC